GAAUGAGAUCUGAAAGUCCCACCCCUCACUGAUAAAUGAAAAUGAGGAGUGCUCUUUACUAGAAAUAAUUAGGCUUCCCUAGCUCCUGAAAAGUGCUUUGAAGAAGAGAAACGUGCUAGAAAUGCUGCAGGUGCCAGCACCACUGCUCCCAGUGCUGUUCUUGCUCAGCAGAAACGUCAGGCAGGCUGUACAGAAAAGAAGAGAGCUGUACCAGAGCAAGCUUGGCUUGGUUCCCACUGUCAGUUUGGUUCCCUCCACCAACAAUCAACCAGGACAGAAGCAUCUGCUUCAUUUGGAAAGGCUCUUAAGCUUCAUCUGUGCACCCCAACACAGCAGCCAUGAGCCUUUACCCCCAAAACUGUGA